rnacentral:lncRNA from 1 species
GAACCCAGGUCUGAAAUUCAAAGAAGGUGGUCCUCUGCCUCCUUAGGCUGGAAUCUAUGUUCUGUCAGGUAAGGAAGCCUCCCAUUAUUUCUGGCUAGCUGCCCUGCUUUGGUAAAAGGGGCCUCAUGCAGGCAGGCAGCGGGGUGGAAGGCCACAUUUGUUUUGCUUUUAUUGUUAAAUAAUAUAAAUCUCUUGGCUGUGCCACCCGCCGGGACAUGAGUUGUGUGUCUUCCCGCACAGUCACUAAUGAGACAGUUAAUCAUUUGUUUAUUCUGUUCGAAGAGAGGUGGUGUGCAUAUCUCUCAGACCAGACACUGGGCUCCAGGACCCUUGGGAAGCUGCCCACCCCUGGCACAUGAGUCACCCAUGUUUCUAGCACAAUCCCUUUCUGCAGGCCCUACCACCUCUUUCCCUGAAGAACUGGCCAGGAUGCAGGCAUCAGCUGCUGCUGAUUAUUAUUACUGCAAUUGCAGUUGUUGUUAUUAUUUUUUUUAAAUACUCCAUUCCCUGAGAAGAAGAAGGAAAAAAAAA